UAGGGAAUCUUCGGCAAUGGACGAAAGUCUGACCGAGCAACGCCGCGUGAGUGAAGAAGGUUUUCGGAUCGUAAAACUCUGUUGUUAGAGAAGAACAAGGACGUUAGUAACUGAACGUCCCCUGACGGUAUCUAACAGAAAGCCACGGCUAACUACGUGCCAGCAGCCGCGGUAAUACGUAGGUGGCAAGCGUUGUCCGGAUUUAUUGGGCGUAAAGCGAGCGCAGGCGGUUUCUUAAGUCUGAUGUGAAAGCCCCCGGCUCAACCGGGGAGGGUCAUUGGAAACUGGGAGACUUGAGUGCAGAAGAGGAGAGUGGAAUUCCAUGUGUAGCGGUGAAAUGCGUAGAUAUAUGGAGGAACACCAGUGGCGAAGGCGGCUCUCUGGUCUGUAACUGACGCUGAGGCUCGAAAGCGUGGGGAGCAAACAGG
rnacentral:rRNA from 1 species